UGCGGAGGGGGCUAGCGUUGUUCGGAAUUACUGGGCGUAAAGCGCGCGUAGGCGGACCUGCAAGUCGGGGGUGAAAGCCCGAGGCUCAACCUCGGAACUGCCUUCGAUACUGCGGGUCUCGAGUCCGGGAGAGGUGAGUGGAAUUCCUAGUGUAGAGGUGAAAUUCGUAGAUAUUCGCAAGAACACCAGUGGCGAAGGCGGCUUACUGGUCCGGUUCUGACGCUGAGGCGCGAAAGCGUGGGGAGCAAACAGG
rnacentral:rRNA from 1 species